rnacentral:lncRNA from 1 species
UUAUAGGGAGAGAGUACCUUCUUUCUUAGGGAUGAGAGCAAUGUAGGCAAAAUUCAGUCAAGACAAGUCUAAAUUUCCUUUGUGAAAGUCCUCCAACAAAAUCAAGAGAUCAUCUUCAAUCAAGUUUCAAAAUUUUUGGAAGAAGGAGAAGCUAAAUCCAUCCAGACCAGGUGCUUUGCAACCAUUGAAGGAAAAUACUACUUGUCUAAUCUUAUCUCU